rnacentral:misc_RNA from 1 species
GAUGAAGAACGUAGCGAAAUGCGAUAUGUAAUGUGAAUUGCAGAAUUCAGUGAAUCAUCGAGUCUUUGAACGCACAUUGCGCCCCCUGGUAUUCCGGGGGGCAUGCCUGUCCGAGCGUCAUUGCUGCCCUCAAGCACGGCUUGUGUGUUGGGCCUCCGCCCCCCGGCUCCCGGGGGGCGGGCCCGAAAGGCAGCGGCGGCACCGCGUCCGGUCCUCGAGCGUAUGGGGCUUCGUCACCCGCUCCGUAGGCCCGGCCGGCGCCCGCCGGCGACCCCCCUCAAUCUUUCCAGGUUGACCUCGGAUCAGGUAGGGAUACCCGCUGAACUUAAGCAUAUCAAUAAGCGGAGGA